rnacentral:rRNA from 1 species
UACGAAGGGGGCUAGCGUUGCUCGGAAUCACUGGGCGUAAAGGGUGCGUAGGCGGGUCUUUAAGUCAGGGGUGAAAUCCUGGAGCUCAACUCCAGAACUGCCUUUGAUACUGAGGAUCUUGAGUUCGGGAGAGGUGAGUGGAACUGCGAGUGUAGAGGUGAAAUUCGUAGAUAUUCGCAAGAACACCAGUGGCGAAGGCGGCUCACUGGCCCGAUACUGUCGCUGAGGCACGAAAGCGUGGGGAGCAAACAGG